AGGUGGGUAUCUCAGCGGUUAGAGCUUAGGUCUCGUAAUCGAAAGGUCCGGGAUCGAAUCCCGUUAAACGC
rnacentral:tRNA from 1 species